rnacentral:rRNA from 1 species
GAUGAACGCUGGCGGCGUGCCUAACACAUGCAAGUCGAACGAAGCAUCGCGCCCGACAAAGAGGAGUGCUUGCACAAAUCGGAGUCAAUUGUGAUGACUUAGUGGCGGACGGGUGAGUAACGCGUGGGUAACCUGCCUUAUACAGGGGGAUAACAGUUAGAAAUGACUGCUAAUACCGCAUAAGCGCACAGUAUCGCAUGAUACAGUGUGAAAAGCCGAGACGGUAUAAGAUGGACCCGCGUCUGAUUAGCCAGUUGGCAGGGUAACGGCCUACCAAAGCGACGAUCAGUAGCCGGCCUGAGAGGGUGAACGGCCACAUUGGGACUGAGACACGGCCCAUACUCCUACGGGAGGCAGCAGUGGGGGAUAUUGGCACAUGGGGGAUACCCUGAUGCAGCGACGCCGCGUGAGUGAUGAAGUAUUUCGGUAUGUAAAACUAUAUCAGCAGGGAAGAAAAUGACGGUACCUGACUAAGAAGCUCCGGCUAAAUACGUGCCAGCAGCCGCGGUAAUACGUAUGGAGCAAGCGUUAUCCGGAUUUACUGGGUGUAAAGGGAGCGUAGACGGCGAGUCAAGUCUGAUGUGAAAGGUGAGAGCUCAACCCUUAAACUGCAUUGGAAACUGGUUUGCUAGAGUAUCGGAGAGGUAAGUGGAAUUCCUAGUGUAGCGGUGAAAUGCGUAGAUAUUAGGAGGAACACCAGUGGCGAAGUCGGCUUACUGGACGAUGACUGACGUUGAGGCUCGAAAGCGUGGGGAGCAAACA